rnacentral:rRNA from 1 species
UACGUAGGGUGCAAGCGUUGUCCGGAAUUAUUGGGCGUAAAGAGCUCGUAGGCGGUCUGUCGCGUCGGAUGUGAAAAUCCAGGGCUUAACCCUGGGCCUGCAUUCGAUACGGGCAGACUAGAGUUCGGUAGGGGAGACUGGAAUUCCUGGUGUAGCGGUGAAAUGCGCAGAUAUCAGGAAGAACACCCGUGGCUAAGGCGGCUCUCUAGUACGGUACUGACGCUGAGACGCGAAAGCGUGGGGAGCGAACAGG